rnacentral:rRNA from 1 species
AAAACAACUACGGAGGGUGCAAGCGUUGUUCGGAAUUACUGGGCGUAAAGCGCGCGUAGGCGGUUUGUUAAGUCAGAUGUGAAAGCCCAUGGCUCAACCCUGAGAGUGCAUCGGAAACUGGGGAUCUUGAGGACAGGAGAGGAAAGUGGAAUUCCACGUGUAGCGGUGAAAUGCGUAGAUAUGUGGAGGAACACCAGUGGCGAAGGCGACUUUCUGGACUGUAACUGACGCUGAGGCGCGAAAGCGUGGGGAGCAAACAGG